AUUGAACGCUGGCGGCAGGCCUAACACAUGCAAGUCGAACGGUAACAGGAAGAAGCUUGCUUCUUUGCUGACGAGUGGCGGACGGGUGAGUAAUGUCUGGGAAACUGCCUGAUGGAGGGGGAUAACUACUGGAAACGGUAGCUAAUACCGCAUAAUGUCGCAAGACCAAAGAGGGGGACCUUCGGGCCUCUUGCCAUCGGAUGUGCCCAGAUGGGAUUAGCUAGUAGGUGGGGUAACGGCUCACCUAGGCAACGAUCCCUAGCUGGUCUGAGAGGAUGACCAGCCACACUGGAACUGAGACACGGUCCAGACUCCUACGGGAGGCAGCAGUGGGGAAUAUUGCACAAUGGGCGCAAGCCUGAUGCAGCGAUGCCGCGUGUAUGAAGAAGGCCUUCGGGUUGUAAAGUACUUUCAGCGGGGAGGAAGGGAGUAAAGUUAAUACCUUUGCUCAUUGACGUUACCCGCAGAAGAAGCACCGGCUAACUCCGUG
rnacentral:rRNA from 1 species